rnacentral:misc_RNA from 1 species
GCGUUUUAGAGGCGGCGCCACAGAGCAAAGAUGGCGGGCAGUCACCGCUUGUUUACACUCGAGACUUGGAAAAAUUGGGCAAAAUCGGGCAAAGCAGAAGUAAUCCAAACAAUCAAGCAGCUAUUAAAAGAAGACUCAGAUAACCCUGGCUUAUCCCAGCCAAGUGUUUGCAAAGACCUGUCCAGAGGACUGUAUGAGAUAUUGUCAGCUGUUUUAAGAGGCAACUUAACACGUGAACAUGUGCGACCGCUUCUCGCAGAAAUGCUUAACUGGCACCCAGAUCUGGCAUCACAGCUGGUGGAGGUGGCUACCCUUCUUGACCUGGAAGCUUCCACCAUUGACCGCCUCAGCAGAAACCGUGAGCAGCUGAUGAUGCUGCUCAAGUCCUUAGACAUAGAUAAAAUGAUGAAGGAAAGGUUGGAGAUUGAAACCCUCGGAGAUUAUGGCAUAGUGAAAAACAAGAAAAAUUUCCACACAAAGCAGAUAAAAGUGAAGACUAAGUUAUUCUACAAACAACAGAAAUUCAACCUAUUACGAGAAGAAACAGAAGGUUAUGCUAAGCUUGUGACAGAGCUCAAUCAAGAAAUAACAGAGAGGGUUACACCUCAGUCAAUCAUCCAAGUUAUUCGUAGUCUUAUUGGUGGUUUCAACUUGGACCCCAAUCGUGUCUUAGACCUUAUCUUGGAGUCCUUGGAGGCUCGGCCAUCCCAACACCAGUUCUACACAGGACUCCUCAAUCAGUAUCCUUGUGAGUCAGCCACCAUCAGUGAACUCUUGGGCUUCAAGCUCAACAAUUACGCCUCAAAUGGGAAGGACACCAAGGGGAUCUACACCACCAUAGCACUCCUCAUCCAGGCCAACAUCCUGCAGCUUUCUGAUAUCUACUCAUGGCUGACACCCGAGGACUCCUCCAUGAUUGAGUGCCAUCUGAAGGAGGAGAGUGAGGCGAAGGAGAUCGUCAGAAAGCUUAAUGUCAUAUCUACCAAAGACAAGGAUAAAGACAAGGAAAAGGAACAAGAGCGGCAGGAAGAGGAGGGUCUCAAAGAGGACUUCAAAAAUCAGGAGGUGUAUCUGUCCAAUCAAAAGAUCCAGUUGUGCAUUGCUCUCAUUGAGGUUGGAGCUUGGGAGCAUUUUGUAGAAAUUUCAUCUCGUUUCCCUGACUAUUAUUUGAUGUCUUUUCCUCCUGUGAGUCAAGCACUUUGUCAACUAGUUCAUGCCACAAUUGAACCCAUCUACAGAGAGGUGUGCAAUUUACCAAGCCGACUCAAGGCCUCUCGAGUGAAGCCACUAGACAACCCUCUAGCCCCACAACCAGCCAAGAAGUUCAGUGAUGUCUGUUCCACAGUGUUCCCCAUGCUGCUUGUGCUUGGACCACACCUGUACCAUGACCCAGGGCUCAUGUGCAAGGUCCUGAGGGUGGCUCGUGUUGCUCUCAAGGAGGCACCAGUAGGGGAAGAUGGUGAGCGGUCCAAUUUCUACUUUGAGUUUUUAAGCGUUUUGGAUGAAGUUCUCCUUCCAUCGCUCUCCAUGCUAGACUCGAACCCAUGCUUGGCAGAGGAGAUUUGGGAAACACUCAAGAUGUAUCCCUAUCAACACAGAUAUAGGUUGUAUGGCCGAUGGAAGAAUGAGUCCUUCACACAGCAUCCCAUGUUGAUGAGGCGUCGGGCUUGGCUGCUCAAGAAGGCUAAGUUCAUCAUGAUGCGCAUCACAAAAGAAACCAUCAAGCCUGUAAGCCGAGGCAUUGGAAAACUGACGCAUAACAACCCUGGCCCCAUAUUCCAUUAUAUCCUGAUUCAAGUUCAGUUGUAUGACAACCUAAUUGGCCCUGUGGUAGACAGCUUUAAGUACCUGACAUCUCUCUCCUAUGAUAUGCUUGGAUACUGCAUUGUGGAAAUUCUCUCAGAGAACAAGGAUAGAACAGCACAUGAAGAGAUGAUCAUCUCACCAUGGCUUCAAUCCCUGUCCAGUUUUUGCGGCACAGUGUUCAAGAAGUAUGUCACAGACCUUGGAGGCAUCUUACAGUUUGUGGCCAACCAACUCAAGUCUGAAAAAUCCAUUGAUCUCCUCAUUUUACGAGAAAUAGUACAGAAAAUGGGUGGAACAGACACUUUAGAAGAUCUCACAGCUGAACAGUUGAGUGCUAUGUGUGGUGGAGAACUCCUGCGUCGGGAAGCAGGGCAGUAUCAACAGGAGAGGAACACCAAGAGGUCUUCUCUCCGUUUGAAGGAGGCUCUCCUGGAGAAUGACCUUGCAAUACCUUUGUUGCUGCUUAUGGCACAGCAGAGGUCAUCUAUUGUGUACAAUCAGACAGAAUCGCCCCAUUUAAAACUUGUAGGGAAGCUGUAUGAUCAAUGCCAGGAUACAAUGGUGCAGUUUGGCUCAUAUCUCUUCCAAGUUGUCACUAUAGAGGAGCUGAGUGAUCGGCUGCCAAGCAUUGGGUCAUUGCUCUCUGAUUACCACAUCAACGCUGAUGUUGCAUUCUUCCUCGCACGUCCUCUUUUUAUAAAUAUGUUAAAUUCCAGAUAUGAUGAAUUAAGAAGGCAAGAUCGUGGUGAGAAGAAACUGACCAUUGAGCAAAAGAAAGAUCGUUAUAUUCAGGCUUGCAAUGAAGUUUUUGAACCCAUUGUUUCCAGCAUCCAGCCACAUUUCAGUAUUAAGGUCUGGGAGGACAUGGAUCCCUCCUUCUUCCUCACUUUUUGGACACUCACCAUGUCUGACCUGGAGGUCCCACACCACAUGUAUGAGAAGGAGAUCAAAAAGAUUGAUGCAAAUGUUAGCCCAUCGACAAACAAACGCAAGAAGGAGACUGACCGUCUUUUGGCACUGAAAGAGAAGCUCCAGGAAGAGGAGAAACGUCAAAAGGAGCACGUAGACAGAGUGUAUGCCAGAUUACAGCAGGAGAAGGAUGGAUGGUUUAUGCUUCGAGGAGCAAGAUCCCCAAAGAAUGACACUGUGACAGCCUUCCUUCAGCUCUGCCUCUUUCCACGAUGCACAUUCACAGCACUGGAUGCUAUUUAUUGUGCCAAAUUUGUGAAAAUGCUGCACAACCUCAAGACUCCAAAUUUCUCCACCCUGAUAUGUUAUGACCGUAUGUAUUGUGAUAUCACCUACACUGUUGCCUCUUGCACUGAGCAAGAGGCUCACCGAUAUGGGCGCUUCCUCCUGGGGACCCUAGAUACUGUCAUGCACUGGCACGCAUCGCAGCAGAACUAUGAGAAGGAGUGUGCAAACUACCCUGGAUUUGUCACCAAGUACCGAGUCUCGCGCCAGGAAGCCAAUGAUUACGUGGAUUAUGAGAACUACCGUCAUGUUGUCCACAAGUGGCACUACAAGAUCACUAAAGCCCUGGUAACCUGCCUAGAGAGUGGGGACUACAUCCAGAUACGCAACGCCAUCCUUAUCCUGCAGGGCAUCUUGCAACGCUUCCCUGUCAUUUCAAACCUCGCUGCAGUCAUUGAAAAGAGGAUUGAGAAGGUGAAAAACGAGGAGAGAAAUCGAAGGAAUGACCUAUAUGUCCUGGCAAACAGCUACUCAGGGAGACUAAAAGGUGCAAAGCCUAACCUCAUGCCUGAGACAGACUUCCACAUUGUCCCAAAGAGGCCACAGGCGGCAAAGGUUGUGAACGGGGCCUCAGAGAAGUCUAGCUCAACGGCAGCAAACGACGUCAAAAGCAGUGGGGAGGUGGUAGAGCAGAAUGAAAAGAUUGUCAAGAUGGAGACUUCAGAGACUACCAAUGGAGAGCUGGAGGGCAAGGAAGACAGGGAGGCGAAGGAGAUCAAGAAAGAGUCAGCAAGUAAAGCGUCAAAAGAGAAAAAAGAAGCAAGUGAAAAGAGAAAGAGUGAAGACCGAGAGAUAAAGAAAGAGGAGAAGGAAAAGAAGGAUAAGGAUAAGAAAGAGGAACGAGAAGAAAAGCCCAAAAAGAGAUCCAAAGAAUCAAAGAAAUCCAAGUAUGACGAGGAGGACUAUGCGGACCCAGAGCGAGAUGACCGGGCAUUAGUGGGGGGUGGAGCUGAGAGGGAGAGGGAGAGCAGUGUCACGUCCAACGCUUCUUCGGCCUCUAACAAGAUGGAACCUCCUGAGUCUUCAAGAGGGUCAAAGCGUCGCAAGACUGAACAUAACUCCAAGAGCCGGAAGGAGGAGGGCUCCCGGCGAGAGCACAAGCACAAGGAGCGGUCCAAGUCAAAGGAGCCGGAGGGGGAGACGCAGACCAAAGAGAGCAAGAAGGAGAAGAAGGAGAGGAAGAGAGACCGAUCCCAAGAUGAUGCAGUGGACUCGGAUUUGAAACGGAAGAAGGAUGAUAGAAUAAAGAGUAAUGGCAGGUCUGAAGACGACCACAAACACAGGCACCAGACACACAGGGCAGACAGUGAGGAGUAUCAUGACCGAUAUUCAAGUGAUAUCAGAGGAAAGGAUUACCGAGAAUAUGAAUACGAGCGAGAUUAUGAGAAGCAUCCCCCAAGCAGACACAAGCGCAAAAACUAACCCCAGUAUAGAUUUUAGUUCUUCAAAUUGUGUUUAUAGGGCUCCUAUUUACAAAGUCCAGACACUUAGAAUUCCUAAAGAAACUUUUUGGGUCUUGUAAUGUUCCUAUGGUCCCUUUAUAAUUGAAAGAACAAAUUGUGUUCCCAACAGAAUCAGGGCUGAUGAAUGCCUAAUCAAUUCUUUUAUCACUAUUCAGUGUUUUGUUUCUUUUAUGUUUCUUCGUGCAUUUAAUGAUACAGGAAAGCAGGACACAAACAAAUGAGUAUAUGUAUAUGUAAGUAUAUCUAGACACACAACACUCUCAGAUGCUCACACACUCAAAAACAGACAUGAUCACAUGCAUAAAUAGAAAUACACAGAAUCACAAGCACAUACACUUAAAAAUUUAAUUUCAGAAGUUCUUGGUUCACAAACAACAAUGUCAAGAGGGUAAAGCAUUUUUAGGCGGUGAAUUUUUCUCUUUCUCUCUCACUCAAAAUCUACUACUGGAAACUAAUAAUAAACGGACCAUAAAACUUUUAAAGAAAUAUUAAUGUUACUGAUUUUGUGUAUUAUUAUUAUUUUUUUUUUUUUUUUUUAACCAUUUAUAAUUAUUAUAAAUUCCCUCCCCAAUCCAUAAAUGUAUGUAUAUAUUUUUUUUAGUUUCCUUUCCAUAAGUAGUCAGAUCUUUCAUCACAUUGGCAUACACUUAUUUAAGAAUAAGUUUAAAGUUUUUAGAUUGUUAAAGGACAAUACAAGUAUUUAAAUAAACAAAAAAAAAAAAAAAAAAACAGGCUUUGAUCACAUGUGAAAAUGUUAUUGCUAAACAAAUAUUUUACCUCAUUUACUUUUUUUUUCUCUCUCUCUCUUUUUUUUCCUGAUCUAUUUAUUUAUUCUUUCAAUUUUUUUAAAUUGCUAGUAUGAGCAACUGAGAUUGGCAUUCUAAUAAAUAGUCCACAAACUUCAAAUAUACAAGGCCAUUUUUUUCUAAUAAUGAGAAGUAACAGAAAUUAAUCCUGAGUGAUGCUAAAAUUUUACCCUAAUCUAUGAAACAAAAGGGGAGAAUAAAAAGAGCAAUGUACAUAGUCAUAAUUUGUGUACCUGGUCCAAAAUGGCUAAUCAUUUUUAUGAUAAAGAAAUAGUUUUGAAUGGUAAGAAAUAGAAAUAAAAAAGUAAAAAAAAAAACAAAAAACAAAAACAAAAAAAAAAAAACAUUUUGUUGUGUAUAUGAUAUGUCCAUUUUAAGGUACUGCAAGGCAUGAAAAUAGCCAGCUUACACAAUAUGUUCUAUUUUACUGGUGUUUUGGUAUUGCAACUUGUGGGAUAUCUCUCGAUCAACUGUACGUUUUGAAUGCACUGUAAGUAAUGUCGAGGUUUGAUAUGUGUGACGUUUUCAUACAUCCUCUAUUUUGUAUAUUGAGAGCAUUAUUGAUGAGUGCUGAGACUUUCUGGCAGGGUAAUAUGAAUUUGAUGGUUAUGUUGAAUAAGCAGAGUACAAUGUUACUGUUAGUACUUAAAUGAUAAAGCAACUGUAUUUUUUAUUUUUAUUAUUAUUUUUUUCAUUUGUUUUAGAUAAAUCAGUGAAAGACUUUGUUUUGUUAUUGAUAUUCUCAUUAUUAGUUUCUUUUUUAAUAAUUCUAAAUAACAUGUCCACACAGUACUUUUUUCUUUGUCUUUCUUUUAUCCUUAUUGUUCACACUCUUUUCCUUUUGUUCUUUAACCUUUAGUUUUGGUUCUUGUCAUAUCCUGCAUCUUUGAUUUUUGCCACAAAUUUGCAAUCUUCCAGUAGUCUAUGUUGCUCAACGGACUUUCAAGAUUUAGGGAUCCCAGAGAGUAAAUGCUAUUCUGCUGUACAUGGAUUGACUGUGACAUUAUUGCACUUAGAAUUGCAGUACAUAGGAAGGAACAAAAAGAAAAAGGGUAUACAAAGAAAUAGCAUAAAUCAUCUUGUUUUAGUUAGUACUGUGAAAUUAUUAAUACACACUUUACAACCAGCCUGCAAUAUGUAUUCUGUAAGGUAAAAUGUGAUUAUAAUAAUAACAUUAUUUUACUGUA